AAUUUUUGGUUAACAUUCAUCUAAAGUUUUGCAGCCUAAAAUACUCGUCCUGAAUAGUCAGCUAAUACAGUUAGGGUCUGUUCGGUUGUAGAAUUAGGUGGAAUGGAAUGGAACCGUUCCAUUCCUCGGAGCCAUUCUCGCGUUCGGUUCAGGGAUAGGAUGGAAUGGAACCGUUCCUCGAAAGGGAAUAUUCUGCCCAGAUGCGGAACGCACCCGUCCGGGCAAAUCGGCCGGACGAGGUCAACGCCGGCCAGGCACGCGGUGGCGGAGCAAGGCGGUGGAGGCCGGCCGGAGGCGAGUAGAGGUGGCCGCCGAGCGGAGCAAGGCGAGGCCGUGGCGGCCGGCCGGAGGCGAGGCGGUGGCUCGCUUGAGCAAGGCGGUGGCGGCCGCCGAGCGGAGCAACGCGGGGCCGUGGCGGCCGGAGGCGAGGCGGCGGCCGGCCGGAGCAACGCGAGACGGAGCACGCCGCCCUCGCCGCCCCAAUCUCGAGCACGGCGCGGCGGCCGGAGGCCGGCCACCUCGAGCACGGCCGGAGGCAGGCCAUCUCGAGCACGGACGCGGCUGUCGGGCGUGAUUUAGGAUUUUUUAGAUUAAUUUAGGCAAUGAUUAAUUAAAUUAGGCACUAAUUCGAUUCGAUUCCAUUCCACAUUUUUUGGGAUGAACCGAACAGGGGAAUGGAUUGGAAUGGGAUGAAGUGGAAUGGAAUGGUUCCAUUCCAUUCCACUUGAUCCGAAAAACGAACAGACCCUUAGUCAUGCAUGAUGGAAUUUUCUUUCACAAUUGUGGUGGAAGGGCAAAACCUUAGGUCUUAGAGUUCUGUGAAGUUUAAGAAACUUUCCUUCUUGGGAGUACUAGAUGGAGGUUAAAAAUAAUUGAGUUUGCUUCUGCUUUUCCUUGUAAUA